ensembl:lincRNA
AUCACUCCAGUUCCCAUAUAAUCUCAGUAUUUUAUCGUGGAAGGUGAUUAUGAAGGUCGUUCUAUGUUUUCUUUCAGGCAACUUUUCUUUUCUUCUCUUUUCAGCAUGGAAUAAACCUUUACUUGUUCCUAAAUUACAAAAGCAUCAUAUAUUUUUAUAUGGUUAAAAAGCGAAAUCAGAUCAAAUAUCUGUUAAUAAUCACAAGCUGUUGUCAGUAAAAUGUAUAGUAUUGUUUCUGUAUGUUUGUUGGUCGCUGAAGUGAAACAAGAGAAGACAUGACAGACCCAAAGCAGGACUCGAGAGGGGAGCUCGUGAUGCCAGCACUGUUGACAGCUCUUCAAGGCAGAACUGUUAUGAUCUCAUCGGAAGUGAAGCAGUGCUGGUCCUCGUCAUUGCUGGGAUGGAAGACUUCAGUGGAAAUACCAGAUUGCCGCUCCUUGUGGUGCUGGUGGACCAGUAAGGGCGCUCAUUCCUCUGAGCUACAGUUUCGAAACCAGGGCACUGUGCAACAGGAGAUGCCAUGCUUCAGAUGAGAUGCUAAACCAAGGUCCAGGCUGCUUGGUCAUCAAUAAACCCCUUUCUUCUUGCAAAAGUGUUAACCCCAGUGUCCUGACUGGAGAAAGCUGACCUCCCUAAAGUUCCCUUUUAAUUCUGGUGCGGAAGAUACUUCUCUCUUCUCUAUCUGAGCUGCUGUUUAGGGGAAGCGAUGGCACAUAAUGUCUGCUGCAGGCCACCCAGGUGGAGGCUACACUUCAGUUGUGGAUGAACUGGGUUCUUCCUUAUGUAUGCAAAGCACUUUUCCUCUGGGUAAUACAUUAUAUACUGUAUAUGAAUGAAAACAAUAAAUACGUGAAUAGAAAAUGCCAAAGAAGAACACCUAAACCCUAAACUAUGCAAAGGUGUGUACAUUUCUUCAAAGUAAGUUACGUAUGAGCGUUCCACUAGUGUUGCUGUUUAACCGUGCUGCAGUGAAGGUGUUAAUGUGCCUUCAGGAACAGUCAGAUACACAUUCGCAAAAUUGGUCUCAAUGUGCAGCUGCUGAUACAGAACAGAUGAAGCAAAGAUUUCCAAGCAGCUGCAGGACCGCUGAGAUAUCUCGGAAAAGGGGGAGAGAAACAAGAUAACAGCUUAGCAAAGAUUUUUUAUACCCUUUUCAUUGUGACCAAAAUGGGGUGUGUACAGUAUGUGUGAGAAGGAGAGACAUUCAGAAAAUUUAGGAUUACCAAGUAAACGUUUCAUUUGAUGAUUUACCUUCAAGAAGGAUAGACCUUCCAAUAAUCAUUUCUAUUUCUUUUGUUUACACUUUUGACUGACAACAUUGUUCAAGCAUCAACACGUCUCCCCCUGUUUUACCUGGAUACAUUGUUCACAUUUACAGCAAAUAUUUUCAAGUUGGACAUUGAUGCCUGGGGCUCUUUUGACAGUGAAACUCCUUGGGGUUCUCUUCCCCCUGUCCUAACAUGCUACCCGCAGAGGCGUCUCUCCUCAGGGUGGGACUCUUUAAAUCUUUUGGCUACAGGAGCUGGGUGUGGUGACUCAAUUAUAUUUUUCACAAAAUGGUUCCCUUCAUUCACUCCCUACCUAAGACCUGAGCAGGACUAGGGAAACUCUGCCAAGUUCAAGUUAAUCAUUCUGGGAUGAAAGACUGCGCUUCUUCACAGAGAGCUAUAAACCCUGCCUGCUGUAACUUGCCUUGACACCUCAGGUUUUAAACAAGAUAUCCAAGAAGAUGGUGGCAUCUGAGCACAUAUCUGGGCACAGAGUUCAAGCCCAUUGGCACCAACUUAAAGAAAAUGUGGAAAAAAGAAACUGCCAGCUCAUUAUGUCCUUUCCAAA